rnacentral:rRNA from 1 species
CCGCUGAACUUAAGCAUAUCAAUAAGCGGAGGAAAAGAAACCAACCGGGAUUGCCUCAGUAACGGCGAGUGAAGCGGCAAGAGCUCAAAUUUGAAAGCUGGCCCCUUCGGGGUCCGCGUUGUAAUUUGCAGAGGAUGCUUCGGGUGCGGCCCCUGUCUAAGUGCCCUGGAACGGGCCGUCAGAGAGGGUGAGAAUCCCGUCUUGGGCAGGGUGCCCGUGCCCGUGUGAAGCUCCUUCGACGAGUCGAGUUGUUUGGGAAUGCAGCUCUAAAUGGGUGGUAAAUUUCAUCUAAAGCUAAAUACCGGCCGGAGACCGAUAGCGCACAAGUAGAGUGAUCGAAAGAUGAAAAGCACUUUGAAAAGAGAGUUAAACAGCACGUGAAAUUGUUGAAAGGGAAGCGCUUGCGACCAGACUCGGCCCCGGGGUUCAGCCAGCACUCGUGCUGGUGUACUUCCCCGGGGGCGGGCCAGCGUCGGUUUGGGCGGCCGGUCAAAGGCCCCAGGAAUGUAUCGCCCUCCGGGGUUGUCUUAUAGCCUGGGGUGCAAUGCGGCCAGCCCGGACCGAGGAACGCGCUUCGGCACGGACGCUGGCGUAAUGGUCGCAAACGACC